rnacentral:rRNA from 1 species
CCGACGGUGAGGGAUGAAAGCUGGGGGCACGAACCGGAUUAGAUACCCGGGUAGUCCCAGCUGUAAACGAUGCUCGCUAGGUGUCAGGUGCGGCGCGACCGCAUCUGGUGCCGCAGUGAAAACUUGAAGCGAGUCACCUGGGAAGUACGGUCGCAAGGCUGAAACUUAAAGGAAUUGGCGGGGGAGCACUACAACGGGUGGAGCCUGCGGUUCAAUUGGAUUCAACGCCGGAAAGCUUACCGGACUC